UGGAAAUUGAGGAGGCCCAGAACAGGCUGCUUGAAAGCUAAAGAAUCCGGGAUGCCAGUAGCAUGGCUCAGUCCAAAUCUAAAGGCCUGAGAACCUCAGGUAGAGGAGGAUUCUGAUGUAAUUCCUGGAGUUCAAAAGCCAAAGACUCUAGAGUUCUGAUAUCCAAGGGAGGAGAAGAAGAAUGUAUGCCAGCUCCUGGAGAUAGAGAGAUUUCCUAGAUGCCAUCAUGUGAGCAGCCAGGUCUUCCCACCAUGCCUUCCUGCCUUGAAGCCGGCCAACUAUCGACUAAAAAUAUGAGCCAAAAUAAAUCUCUCCUUGUUUAAACGUGCAAGCAAAGUAAGUACCUGUGGCCAAAGAAUGGAAAGUCAUGAGUUCCGGGCAAGAAGUCAUCUACCAUAGAUAAGCUCUGUGGUUUAAUUCUCCCUCGUUUCAAAGGCAAGAGAUCGCAACACUGACAGAGGCAGGAAAGCACUGUGGGAAGGGAAGGAGCGUCAGACUCUGGGACGCCCUUUACAGCAACAAAAUCCCUGAAGUCUAGGUAGGCAUGUGGCUGCUGAAAAUAAAAAGUACAUUUCCCAGAAUCCCAUUUGAUUCCAUUCUGGCCAAUCAAUUGGGCAUAAGCCAAAGUUGUGGAAGCAAGUUCCAGGAAGUGUCCUUAAAGAAGAAGGAUAAAAUACUUGAGGCUGAAGAAGGUAUGAUUCACCUCGGUCAUGGAACAAAGGCACAGUGAGACUACAAUCAGAUGUGUUCUGCCUGUUCAGUCAGCCACCUGAAGCUGACCCCCGGAGGUGGAGCGUUAGCAGAUGGUCUCCAAAGGCAUUUUCUGGUAAAAGACAAGCUAUGGUCCUCCACCGCAAGCUUGUUUCCAAGUCUCAGGGAUGUUCUCAGGUCCAUUAAUAAUACUCUCUUUUUUUGGUAAUAAAUUUGUAAAUUAAUACAAUAAAUCAAGUGUCUCUAUAGCUAUCCUUCAUAUGAUAUGAAAACACUAUGGUAUCUGAAAAUAGGCUCUCUCAGACACUAUGGUGAAAACUUUUAUAAGAAAAAGAAUGAAAUAAAAAUGUGACAG
rnacentral:lncRNA from 1 species